GGCGCGAGCAGGUGCGAAAGCAGGUCAUAGUGAUCCGGUGGUUCUGAAUGGAAGGGCCAUCGCUCAACGGAUAAAAGGUACUCCGGGGAUAACAGGCUGAUACCGCCCAAGAGUUCAUAUCGACGGCGGUGUUUGGCACCUCGAUGUCGGCUCAUCACAUCCUGGGGCUGAAGUAGGUCCCAAGGGUAUGGCUGUUCGCCAUUUAAAGUGGUACGCGAGCUGGGUUUAGAACGUCGUGAGACAGUUCGGUCCCUAUCUGCCGUGGGCGCUGGAGAACUGAGGGGGGCUGCUCCUAGUACGAGAGGACCGGAGUGGACGCAUCACUGGUGUUCGGGUUGUCAUGCCAAUGGCACUGCCCGGUAGCUAAAUGCGGAAGAGAUAAGUGCUGAAAGCAUCUAAGCACGAAACUUGCCCCGAGAUGAGUUCUCCCUGAGACUUAG
rnacentral:rRNA from 1 species